CUCCUUGANGGAGNAACCCCGGGUANCUGGGGCUAAUCCCCGAUAGACGAAAACACUUGGAAUGGGUUUUCGUCCAAAAGGCGUUGUGGUCAUGCUUCGCAAUGUCGCUCAAGGAUGGGGCCGCGCCCGAUCAGGUAGUUGGUGAGGUAGCGGCUCACCAAGCCUAUAACCGGUACGGGCCGUGGGAGCGGGAGCCCGGAGAUGGGCACUGAGACAAGGGCCCAGGCCCUACGGGGCGCAGCAGUUGCGAAAACUCCGCAAUGCACGAAAGUGUGACGGGGCUACCCCGAGUGCCGUCCGCUGAGGAUGGCUUUUCUCUGCUGUAAGGAGGCGGAGGAAUAGGGAGAGGGCAAGUCUGGUGUCAGCCGCCGCGGUAAUACCAGCUCUCCGAGUGGUAGGGACAAUUAUUGGGCCUAAAGCGUCCGUAGCCGGCUCGUCAAGUCUUUCGUUAAAAUNCAGCGAUUCAAUCGUUGAACUGCGGGAGAUACUACCGAGCUAGGGGGCGGGAAAANCCNACGGUAUUUCCGGGGUAGGGGUAAAAUCCUAUNAUCCCGGGAAAACCCCANUGGCGUANGCGGUCGCNUANCACNCNCUCCANGGUNAG
rnacentral:rRNA from 1 species